CAGGUCAUCAUUUUCCAGUAAUCUAGUGAUACUGUUCUCCAACAUCUGGGAGGUCUCAUGACCCAGCUGCCCUUGAAUGGAUUUAAAAGGUGACUGGAACACUUCUUUCUGACCUCAGAGAUGUGAUGGAUGUCCGGGAAGAUUUUCUCAAGGGCUAGAAAGUGAAGUCAUUAAGACUAGAGCUCCAGGCUUCUUCAUCCAACUCCAAGGGUUCCCAGCAACAUGUGAAGUCCUCUAUCUGUCACUAAGAAGCCGUGUGAGUGAAGCAGGCUAUAUACCUUGGUUUCAACAUCUGUGAACAAGGUGUAAUGAUGGUUUUCUCAUCUUUUUUUAGGAUCGUUAUAAGAAUCUGAGACAGUGAGAGGGAAAAGAUUGUUUUCCAUUCAUUAGCUCAGGCUGGGCAUUGGAGGCAUCUCCUCUGAGCACCUGCUAAAACAGCACU
rnacentral:lncRNA from 1 species